AGUACCCAUAGUCAUGUCUAAAAAAUAAUCAUGUGUAAGCAAGCAAUUUUGUUUAUGUUUUGGUGAGGCCAAUGCACCGACAGUGUCUCGUCUUGCUAUACAUGGAAUCCUUAACUGUACAUGUAUAUGAAUAUAUGCAAAUGUGAAUGUAUUCAUUUCACAAUAUUAGGAGUCAAACCAACAAAGAGGCGUAUUCUCGAACAUGAUGAAUCUGAUGAUGAAAUUCCUUCACCACCAAUUAAACAAUCAAAAGAUAAUGACGAUGUGGAAAAUGAAGCAGAAGAUGACAUUGAAGAUGUGGUAACAAUUAACUGAUUGUGAAAGCAUUCUCACUAUAAUUACAAUUCUAUAGGAUAAAGAUUAUGCCUGUUUUGAUGAUGGAAGUUGUGAAACACCUAAAGGACAAACUAAACCACUGUCAACUCAAGUCACUCAGUCUACUACACAAACAGCACCAUCAUAUUCACCAAUGG